AACGAACGCUGGCGGCAUGCCUAACACAUGCAAGUCGAACGAGACCUUCGGGUCUAUUGGCGCACGGGUGCGUAACGCGUGGGAAGCUGCCCUUAGGUUCGGAAUAACUCCCCGAAAGGGGUGCUAAUACCGGAUAAUGUCUUCUGACCAAAGAUUUAUCGCCUUUGGAUGGGCCCGCGUUGGAUUAGCUAGUUGGUAGGGUAAAAGCCUAUCAAGGCGAAGAUCCAUAGCUGGUCUGAGAGGCUGAUCAGCCACACUGGGACUGAGACACGGCCCAGACUCCUACGGGAUGCAGGAGUGGGGAAUAUUGGACCAUGGGCGAAAGCCUGAUCCAGCAAUGCCGCGUGAGUGAUGAAGGCCUUAGGGUUGUAAAGCUCUUUUACCCGGGAUGAUAAUGACAGUACCGGGAGAAUAAGCCCCGGCUAACUACGUG
rnacentral:rRNA from 1 species